rnacentral:rRNA from 1 species
UACGGGGGGGGCAAGCGUUGUUCGGAAUUACUGGGCGUAAAGGGCUCGUAGGCGGCUCCUUAAGUCAGACGUGAAAUCCCUCGGCUUAACCGGGGAACUGCGUCUGAGACUGAAGAGCUUGAAUCCGGGAGAGGGAUGCGGAAUUCCAGGUGUAGCGGUGAAAUGCGUAGAUAUCGGGAGGAACACCAGUGGCGAAGGCGGCUUCCUGGCCUGUUCUUGACGCUGAGGCGCGAAAGCUAGGGGAGCAAACGGG